AGAUUGAACGCUGGCGGCAUGCUUAACACAUGCAAGCCGAACGGCAGCACAGCCAAGCUUGCUUGGUGGGUGGCGAGUGGCGGACGGGUGAGGAAUACGUCGGAAUCUGCCCUGUUGUGGGGGAUAACGUAGGGAAACUCACGCUAAUACCGCAUAAGACGGUGACGUGAAAGCGGGGGAUCGAAAGACCUCGCGCGAUGGGAUGAGCCGACGUCGGAUUAGCUUGUUGGUGGGGUAAAGGCCUACCAAGGCGACGAUCCGUAGCUGGUCUGAGAGGAUGAUCAGCCACACUGGGACUGAGACACGGCCCAGACCUCCGUACGGGAGGCAGCAGGUGGGGAAUAGUUGGACAAGUGGGCGCAAGCCUGAUCCAGCAAUGCCGCGUGUGUGAAGAAGGCCUUGGUUAGUAAGCUACUUUUUAAUCGAAGGUAACGAAAAGGUGUACGGACGAACGUACCCG
rnacentral:rRNA from 1 species